UGGGGAAUCUUGCGCAAUGGGCGAAAGCCUGACGCAGCGACGCCGCGUGAGUGAUGAAGGCCUUCGGGUUGUAAAGCUCUGUGGAGGGGGACGAAUAAGGGUUGGCUAAUAUCCAACUUGAUGACGGUACCCCUUUAGCAAGCACCGGCUAACUCUGUGCCAGCAGCCGCGGUAAGACAGAGGGUGCAAACGUUGUUCGGAAUUACUGGGCGUAAAGCGCGUGUAGGCUGCUUGGAAAGUCGGAUGUGAAAGCCCUGGGCUUAACCCAGGAAGUGCAUUCGAAACUUCCAAGCUCGAGUCCUGGAGAGGGUGGCGGAAUUCUCGGUGUAGAGGUGAAAUUCGUAGAUAUCGAGAGGAACACCGGUGGCGAAGGCGGCUACCUGGACAGUGACUGACGCUGAGACGCGAAAGCGUGGGGAGCAAACAGGAUUAGAUACCCGCGUAGUCC
rnacentral:rRNA from 1 species